GAAAUCUUCACACGGGGCAUCGUCUCCAAAAGGAUUUAAAAAGUCAGAAAUGAUCACUCACAAGUGAGUGACACUCCCUGCCUCUCCUGGACAGAUGUUUCCCUGAGCAAAGCAGCUCCGGCUGCUGAAAUGAUUUCUAAGUCUCUUCCAUCAGUAGGAUUGGGAGGACAAGGAGGCUGGCUAGCCUUCAACCCUUCAGGAAUAACACAAGACCCCAGGUCAUCUCGGCCAUCCGCAAACACCCCUCAGAUG